GUCCACGCUGUAAACGAUGAGUGCUAGAUGCUAUGGGUAUUGACCCCUGUGGUGUCGCAGCUAACGCGUUAAGCACUCCGCCUGGGGAGUACGGCCGCAAGGCUAAAACUCAAAGGAAUUGACGGGGGCCCGCACAAGCGGUGGAGCAUGUGGUUCAAUUCGACGCAACGCGCAGAACCUUACCUGGGUUAAAUCCACUCGAACCCUGCAGAGAUGUGGGGGUGUUCCUUUGGAAAGCGAGUGAGAAGGUGCUGCAUGGCUGUCGU
rnacentral:rRNA from 1 species